rnacentral:lncRNA from 1 species
AGAUUUGAUGUUAUUUAUUUAAGGGGCUUUUGCAGUACAAAACAUUACAAGUGUGUUUUCUACAUUGAGAGAGGAAAUAAAAACCCUAAAAAAAUUGUCAAAACCAAUUUGAAAUAAAUACAUAUAAAACUGCUUUACAAUCAGGGAGUUAUAAAUACAUUGUGAACUGAGUAGUUCCAAAUUGUGUUCACUUGUGAAGUGCAUAACACCACUACAAAACCAGUCCUUUAUUUUAAAACCUGCCAUUCGUAUCAAAACAUUGAUUCUUAAAUACAGAGAGAUGAUACUAGUACAAAAACCACACAACUGAAUACCACAAAGCAUCCACUGCACACGUAUUUACUGCUUUAUCUCUGUCACAUCACAAUCUCCUGCCUGCUGCAAGGUUACCAAGAACCAGACAACUUCAUCUGAACAGAUCUUUAUCAGUUCCAAGGCACCUUCCUCCCCAAGACACGGUUGAACACCUACUGUUUUGUAAAGCUGGGCCUUCAGUCGAUAGGAGUUGUAUUCCAUUUUCCUCUUCUCUUCCUCUCGCUUUUUCUGCACCUCUGGCAGCUGCUCAUAGAUCCUUCAAUAUCUUUGAACCAUUUCAUCCCUUGGAAUUGUU